rnacentral:rRNA from 1 species
GAUGAACGCUGGCGGCAUGCCUAACACAUGCAAGUCGAGCGAAAAGACGAGAAGCUUGCUCCUCUAGCGUUAGCGGCGGACGGGUGGGUGACUCGUGGAUAACCUACCAAUAAGCCGGGGAUAACAUCGGAAGACCGGCUCGAAUACCACCUAAUAUAUUCUACCGCUUGCAUCACGAGUCUUAGAGGACUUUCCUGUCUUUCAUAGCUGGAGCCGCGUUGCAUUAGCUAGUUGGUAAGGUAACGGCAUCCCGAGGCUACGAUGCGUAGCCGACCUGAGAGGAUGAUCCGCCACACUAGAACUGAGACACGGUCCAGACUCCUACGGGAGGCAGCAGUAGGGAAUCUUAGAGAAAGGGCGGAAGCCUGAUCGAGCAAUGCCGCGUGGGUGACGAAGGUCUUCGGAUAGUAAAACUCUGUUAUUAGGGAAGAACAACAGUAGGAGUAUACAUGCACGUUUUGACGGUACCUAAACAAAAAGCACCGGCUAACUACGUG